rnacentral:rRNA from 1 species
GACGAACGCUGGCGGCGUGCCUAAUACAUGCAAGUCGAGCGCAGGAAGCUGACGGAACUCUUCGGAGGGAAGGCAGUGGAAUGAGCGGCGGACGGGUGAGUAACACGUAAGGAACCUGCCUCAAGGAUUGGGAUAACUCCGAGAAAUCGGAGCUAAUACCGGAUAGUUCAUCGGACCGCAUGGUCCGUUGAUGAAAGGCGCUUCGGCGUCACCUUGAGCUGGCCUUGCGGUGCAUUAGCUGGUGGGUGGGGUAACGGCCUACCGAGGCGACGAUGCAUAGCCGACCUGAGAGGGUGAUCGGCCACACUGGGACUGAGACACGGCCCAGACUCCUACGGGAGGCAGCAGUAGGGAAUCUUCCACAAUGGACGAAAGUCUGAUGGAGCAACGCCGCGUGAGUGAUGAAGGUUUUCGGAUCGUAAAACUCUGUUGUAAGGGAAGAACACGUACGAGAGGGAAUGCUCGUACCUUGUCGGUACCUUACGAGAAAGCCACGGCUAACUACGUGCCAGCAGCCGCAGUAA